rnacentral:lncRNA from 1 species
GGAAACAUGGUGGAAGGCGGUGUUAAUAAAUUAUUAUGGCAUAGGCCAUAGAAUUGUGGAUGAUUAUUGUCGUUAUGAGUUUUUGGUGGACUAGUAUAUUUGGGGUGUUUGAUAGAUGGAAAUGGUUGUUGAAAUUGUUGUUAAUCGUAGUCAAAGUGAGUUGUUAAGUUUGUAUAGCGGGUGAUGAGAAAAAUGAAUUUAAUGAUUGAAUUGCUACGAUGUUAGUGAUAGGGAGGAUAUUUAGCAGGUUUGAACCGUAUGUACGGGCGCUUAAGUCU